GGCUUGUGGCUCAGUGGUAGGGUGCUUAUCUAGCACAUGUGAAGCACUGAGUUCGAUCCUCAGCACCA
rnacentral:tRNA from 1 species